GAUGAACGCUGGCGGCGUGCUUAACACAUGCAAGUCGAACGGAAAGGCCACAGCUUGCUGUGGUACUCGAGUGGCGAACGGGUGAGUAACACGUGGGUGAUCUGCCCUGUACUUCGGGAUAAGCUUGGGAAACUGGGUCUAAUACCGGAUAGGAUUCACCUGUCGGUGUGUGGUUGGAAAGCUUUUGCGGUAUGGGAUGAGCUCGCGGCCUAUCAGCUUGUUGGUGGAGUAGUGGCCUACCGAGGCGUCGACGGGUAGCCGGCCUUAGAGGGUGUACAGCCACAUUGGGACUAAGAUACGGACCAGACUCCUACGGGAGGCAGCAGGGGGGAAUAUUGCACAAUGAGAGCAAGCCUGAUGCAGCGACGCUGCGUUGGUGAAGACGGCCUUCGGGUUGUAAACUGCUUUCGUCAGAGACGAAGCGGAAGUGACGGUACCUGAAGAAGAAGCACCGGCUAACUACGUG
rnacentral:rRNA from 1 species